GAGGGUAUGGCUCUUGUAGUAGAGCAUGUGCCUAGAAAGCACAAGGCUCUGAGUUCAAACCACAGUAUUACUG
rnacentral:tRNA from 1 species